UUGACCCGUCUUGAAACACGGACCAAGGAGUCUAGCAUGUGCGCGAGUCACGGGGUCUCUCGAAACCCAAGGGCGCAAUGAAAGUGAAGGCCGCCUCCGGCUGGCCCAGGCAAGAUCCCGAGUCGUUCGCGACGAGGGCGCACUGCCGGCCCGUCUCGCUGGCAUCGACCACGAGGCGGAGCAAGAGCGCACACGCUGGGACCCGAAAGAUGGUGAACUAUGCCUGAGUAGGACGAAGUCAGGGGAAACUCUGAUGGAGGUCCGUAGCGAUUCUGACGUGCAAAUCGAUCGUCAAACUUGGGUAUAGGGGCGAAAGACUAAUCGAACCAUCUAGUAGCUGGUUCCCUCCGAAGUUUCCCUCAGGAUAGCUGGCGCCGAUCCGGUAGUUUUAUCCGGUAAAACGAAUGAUUAGAGGCCCUGGGGACUUUUAGACCUCAACCUAUUCUCAAACUUUCAAUGGGUAAGAAGCGCGGCUCGCUCAAAUGGAGUCGUCGCAUCGUAGA
rnacentral:rRNA from 1 species